rnacentral:rRNA from 1 species
UAGCGUAGGAUGCAAGCGUUUGCCGGAAAUUAUUGGGCGUAAAGAGCGCGCAGGCGGUAUGACAAGUCAGAUGUGAAAGAGGCCGGCUUAACCGGCAAGGGUCAUUUGAAACUGUCAGACUAGAGUGCAGCAGAGGAUAGUGGAAAUUCCCGGUGUAGUGGUGAAAUGCGCAGAUAUCGGGAGGAACACCAGUGGCGAAGGCGACUAUCUGGGCUGCAACUGACGCUGAGGCGCGAAGGCUAGGGUAGCAAACAGG